UUUGGUUGAAGUUUUGCUUGCUAAUUGUUGCCAGAGUAAAAUUUUAAUUUGUAAUACAUUAUUAUGAAAUGACUCAGUUAUGAAAGUCUUGCCAAAUUAUAGCUCUUGUUCGACUUUAGUUGUCGAAUUGUCGAGCACGCUGUCCUAUGGACAGCUUUUGUAUAUACUAAACUUGAUUACCAUGGAAACGUAGAUCUUCAUCUUCUAGGCGGAUAACCGACACUCAGUAGCUUGGCUGUAAUUGUUCAUGGAUCGGCACCACUGAUUUUGAACAUAUAUACAAAUCAUGGACGAAGGUGUCGUCAGAUCUGGAGCCAAAAUGGGUUACCAUGGAAACAUACAUCUAAAUCUAGGCAAUGGUAUAACGGAUAGUCAACGUUCAGAUGUACAAAGUUAUACAGCAGCUUUUUGAGCAUAUAGGGGCUCCCAUGGGAACGCACCUCUACAUCUAAGCAAUUGUAUUAAUGGAUGACCGGCGUUCAGACGUACACAGUUAUAGAGCAGAUUUUGGAGCACAUAGGAUAUUGAUUUCAAAUACAAAAGUGAGAAAUAUCUGCAGAAGGAAGAUGAAUACAUGUCAGACCUAGCACAAGCAUAAAAGCAUGACACCACCACAGCCGCCCUGACACAAGCAAAGUUAAACAAAUUAGACAUAAGCUGACAUGUAUAUAAUUAUAGCCCCACGUACAAAGUGUAUGGGGCUAUAUUGGAGUCACACAUGUCCGCACAUCCGUUCGUCCAUCUUUUCUGCUGGGAAGAUUUUCAUAAAGCCAUCAAUAAUUAACCUCAUUAUGACGAUGUGCAGAGCGCACAACGCAGGUCACUAGGCCCAAAGUCAAAGUAACUCUUGGAGGUCAAAAGUCAAAUAGUUUAACCUCAGGUCCGCUACAUACUGUCUAAACGGCUUGGAAGAUAUUUAGCUUGACUAAUUGAGGAAUUAACAUUCUUGCCGUGGCAUCGACAUCAUUAUCACCGUUGCAUUCAAGUUAGAAUCGUAUUUUAUGAAAAGCUUGUCAAUGUCACUCUAUCUUCUUAACUAUUGCUCCUAUUAACGUCAAACUUCACAUAAGUAUUGUUCUAGGUAAGGGGCAUACAUCUAUUAGCUUAGAGUUAGACAUCCUAAACGUCAAGGUCACAAGGUCAAAUAUUUUAAGUUUAUGACAAGGUUUUCCAUUUCCACAUGUCUUCUCAACUACUGCCCUUCAAUAAUUAAACCUCGUAUAAGAUAUAAGAACUAAACUUAGAAAUAGACAGAAAUCUUUUGGUUUAGGGUUAGGUAUCCUAAAGGUCGUCAAGGUCACUGGGGUCAGAUUUUUGUAAUAAUGUUGGUUAUAGUUUUAUGGCACACUUCUAAAUCUGACUUUUCGUAUUUUUUCGGACAAUUCGUAAUGUUACUUAGUACUGGUAUCCUUCAUAUCCAAGCGUAGAGCAGUUAAUGUACAAUAACCUACAUUCACAAAUAAUUAAUUUUGAGACGGGAGAUUAACAUUUGUUUGUUUCAGUGUAAGAUCGAAAUAUCGAAUUCUAGACGCACUCUAGUGUUCACGCGUGAAAAUAAUUCAGUUUCACAUAUAAAUCAAAGAAAUCUUAUGCACCUUUUAUCAGUGUAACAUUACAUGCAAUGCGCAAUGUUACACUUACUCUUAUGGCAAUAUAUAUGUUGGAAAAAGAAAUUUUCUACUAUUUUAUUUUGUUAAAAACUAUCCGAUUAUGUGUAAUUCAUUUUCUUUCGCGUUGACUUGAUGUCGCGUGCUAGUGAAAAAUGUAUUUGGAUUUCCCACUUCUAAAACAGUGGGUUUAUCAGGAUAUAAUGUAUCGUUAUGUUUCAGUAAUACUCUGAAAGCUUGACAUGAAAUUCCUUACUCUAGUCACUACAAAAUGUACAGAUAAAAAGUUAUAGGUCUUUUAUUCAAACACCCAUCCUAUUGUCUUUUGUCUGGGUCGUCCAAAUGCAGCUUUUAAAGUCAUUUUGGCCUCGUUUCUUAUACACUGCAUUUCACACUGUUUGACAUAACUGUUUACCGACACCUAACUUUGAGCACUAAUAUUUACCCUUGGGGCUAAAAUGACUUUUACAGCAUCUUUGUCUUUUAUAGGAACGUGUUAAUUGUUAGACUAGGUAUAUGUUUUUGAAUGAUGGGUAAAAAGAUGCGCUGAUCUAAUGUUUAAUAGAUAUGUGGACAAAGGACGUAUGCUAGAAUUUGGUGCGAAA
rnacentral:lncRNA from 1 species